CANCGGCGGCUCGAGUGGUAACCGUUAUUAUUGGGUCUAAAGGGUCUGUCGCCGGCCGGAUAAGUCUCUUGAGAAAUCUGGCAGCUUAACUGUCAGGCUUUCAGGAGAUACUGUCUGGCUCGAGGCCGGGAGAGGUGAGAGGUACUUCAGGGGUAGGGGUGAAAUCUUGUAAUCCUUGAAGGACCACCAGUGGCGAAGGCGUCUCACCAGAACGGACCUGACGGCAAGGGACGAAAGCUAGGGGCACGAACCGG
rnacentral:rRNA from 1 species